CAAUAGCGUAUAUUAAUGUUGUUGCAGUUAAAAAGCUCGUAGUUGGAUUUCUGGUGGGAGCGGCCGGUCCGCCGUAAGGUGUGUACUUGGUUGUCUCCUGUCAUCCUUGUGGGAACUGCUCUGGCAUUAAGUUGUCGGGGUUAGGGAACACAUCGUUUACUGUGAAAAAAUUAGAGUGUUUAAAGCAGGCUUAUGCCGUUGAAUACAUUAGCAUGGAAUAAUAAGAUAGGACUUUGGCGUCUAUUUUGUUGGUUUGCACACCAAGGUAAUGAUUAAUAGGGAUAGUUGGGGGUAUUCGUAUUUAGUUGUCAGAGGUGAAAUUCUUGGAUUUAUGAAAGACGAACUUCUGCGAAAGCAUUUACCAAAGAUGUUUUCAUUAA
rnacentral:rRNA from 1 species